rnacentral:lncRNA from 1 species
CAGCGAUCAGAGGAGAGAGCUGCAUGUUUCUCUGAGUCUCCGGGUCCAUGUUGGAGUUGCUCUGCUCUGCUGGGUCAUUUCAGGCCACGUCUGUCCGAGCACAGGAGCAAACGCUGGUAUUACAGGGAUAUCUAAUAAAGGACAUACACAUAUACUGUGCUGCAGCUUCGAGGUUUUCAUGUUGGGAGGGAUUCAUCCACCUCGGCCCUGGCAGGACUAAACCUUCCAAUGUCUUUCUGCCUCUGCUGCUCCAAACCACUCUGGAACGACUCCGAUAUCACAAAGAACAAGAUAUCAGCGAGUCCGUGGAUGACAACAGCAUGAUGUUGAAGGCCUAA